rnacentral:rRNA from 1 species
GAUGAACGCUGACAGCAUGCUUAACACAUGCAAGUCAACCUGUGGCGGACGGGUGAGUAACGCGUAAAGAUCUUGCCUCAUCUGGAGGUACAACAUCUGGAAAAGAAUGUUAAUACCUAAUCCUGUGAGCGCGCUUUGCGUCCCAUUAGCUAGUUGGAGAGGUAACGGCUCACCAAGGCGAUGAUGGGUAGCCGGCCUGAGAGGGUGAUCGGGCACAAGGGGACUGAGACACGGGCCUUACGCAUACGGGAGGCAGGAGUGGAGAAUAGUGGACAAUAGGCCAAAGUCUGAUCCAGGAAUUCGGUGUGCACGAUGAAGUUGUCGGAAUGUAAAGGGCUGUCAGUUGAGAAGCGGUACCAACAGAAGAAGUGACGGCUAAAUACGUGCCAGCAGCCGCGGUAAUUC